rnacentral:rRNA from 1 species
UCCGUAGGUGAACCUGCGGAAGGAUCAUUACCGAGUGUAGGGUUCCUAGCGAGCCCAACCUCCCACCCCGUGUUUUACUCGUACCUUAGUUGCUUCGGCGGGCCCGCCUAUUUAUGGCCGCCGGGGGCUCUCAGCCCCGGGCCCGCGCCCGCCGGAGACACCACGAACUCUGUCUGAUCUAGUGAAGUCUGAGUUGAUUGUAUCGCAAUCAGUUAAAACUUUCAACAAUGGAUCUCUUGGUUCCGGCAUCGAUGAAGAACGCAGCGAAAUGCGAUAACUAGUGUGAAUUGCAGAAUUCCGUGAAUCAUCGAGUCUUUGAACGCACAUUGCGCCCCCUGGUAUUCCGGGGGGCAUGCCUGUCCGAGCGUCAUUGCUGCCCAUCAAGCACGGCUUGUGUGUUGGGUCGUCGUCCCCUCUCCGGGGGGGACGGGCCCCAAAGGCAGCGGCGGCACCGCGUCCGAUCCUCGAGCGUAUGGGGCUUUGUCACCCGCUCUGUAGGCCCGGCCGGCGCUUGCCGAACGCAAAUCAAUCUUUUUCCAGGUUGACCUCGGAUCCCAGGUAGGGAUCCCCGCAUGCCCUUAAGCAUAUCAAUAAGCGGAGGAAG